rnacentral:rRNA from 1 species
CGAAUACAUUAGCAUGGGAUAAUGGAAUAGGACCCUGUCCUCCUAUUUUCAGUUGGUUUGCCGCGAGGACCAGGGUAAUGAUUAAUAGGGAUAGUUGGGGGCAUUAAUAUUUAAUUGUCAGAGGUGAAAUUCUUGGAUUUAUGAAAGAUUAACUUCUGCGAAAGCAUCUGCCAAGGAUGUUUUCAUUAAUCAAGAACGAAAGUUAGGGGAUCGAAGACGAUCAGAUACCGUCGUAGUCUUAACCAUAAACGAUGCCGACCAGCGAUUAGGAGACGUUGAAUACAAAACACCACCAUGCGCAUUGCGGUCGUCUUUGGUGUCGCUCACAAGGCGGCACCGGGGCGGCUUAGCUCGCAUGGCACCGGUGAAUGACUCCCUA